rnacentral:misc_RNA from 1 species
GCAGGAGUUCUAUGAUUCCUAAUUGAUCAGAAUAUUUUUUUUCUUUUUUUUUUCCAUUUUUUAUUUCCAUCCCUGAUCUGAUGUACAAAACCAUUAUUUUCUUUUUUUUUCUUGUGUAGCAUAAAAAGCACACCAUAUAGAGAAUUAGAGAUCUUGCAUAUUAAAUCUGACAGUGGAGAUGAUGAGGCCUGAACUUGUUCUUCAAUAUGUUAAAACCUUAGAAUUGGAUAAAUCGGAGGAGUUAGUACUUGAAAUUUAGGCAUUGUAAUCGAG